UGCGAAGGGGAGGAUCCGAGGCACCGGAAGCUGGGCGAGAGAGCCGGGGUCUGCGCGGAGCGCGGUGAGUUUUCCGACUUGAGGCUGUCGGUGCCUCCCGAGCAGGAUGCUCCUGAAAAACGUGGGACAGGACGAAAUUCACAGGGUCUCCCCACUUAGGGCCUCGUCACCACAAACACACCUUCUCCCGCAGCUCACCGCCAUUAGUCGGAGCGGUCACCGGAAGCUAGUAAAUCCUAAGUAUCACAGCGAACUCACUCCUCUCGAAACACGUCUACGACGCAAGGUUCCGCCGAAAGCGCGGCGGACCCAGAGCAAGCGCUCAGCGGGAGACAGAAAGCGCUGGGGUGGACGGAGCGCUUCAGGCGGUGCUUGUAAUUUUAGAAGACGGAGUGCACAGGGAUGAACUUAAAGGCCUCGGAGAACCCAGCAGAGUGCACCGCCCAGAAAGAAGACGACUGAUUCCGGGGGAAUGGUACCCAUGAGGUGGGGGACCGCUGGAUUAGGGCGAGCGAGGCAGGGCGGGCGGGGCGGGGAGCCGGCGUUGCAGAUGGCUCAACUGGUCUCCUGUAUACAUCAGAAUUCUGAAGAACUAGGCUCUAAUGGCAACGAAGGAGAGAGCUUUCCAGCUAGAGUCGGAGCAAGCAUGCAAAGAACAAGAACUUCCUUCUAUGAUCUUUAUAUAGGCUGCCACCCGAAGACGUGGCCCAGAUUUAAGGAGGAAGAGAACACCGUGGAGAUGGUAGGAGGCUUCGAAAACCCAGCACUCAGUAGCACGCCUCCUCCAACAAGACCACGCCUCCUCCAACAAGACCACGCCUCCUCCAACAAGACCACGCCUCCUAAUCCUUCCCAAACAGCCAACAACCGGGGACCAAGGAUUGAAACUCCAGAGAUGUAUGGAGGACCUCUCAUUUAAAGCACCUGUAGUGGAAUUUGAAGAUGUGAUCUCUCCACUUCCUACUCCUGCUGCCUGACGCUUGCUGCCACCCCUCCACUCCAUAGUGGACUCUUACUACUCUGGAACCAUAGACAAAAAUUAACUUUGCUCCCAUAAAUUGCUUUUGGUCAUGCUAUUUCAUCACAGCAACAGAAAAGUAACUAACACGGGGACGCUUUCACAAGAGUAAGUAUAUGACAAAAUAUGCAAAAAUCACACACCCGAAAUACCUAUAAUAAGCUGUCUGCCAGUUAGACCCCUGUUGUAUUAAGGUGUGUCUCUGUAUUUCCAGGUGUUGAUUCUGUACAGGCAGAGAGCUAAGUGCUGACAGAAGUUUAGUAUUGUCAUUUCUAUUCCCCAAGUUUUCUAUUUUGUAAAUGUUUGUCUUCUAAACCUUCCCAAAAGAUGAAGGUCAAGCAUUGAGAAAUGCCUUAGGUGACCUAAGAGAUGGUCUAGCACGAUCUUACUGCUGAUUGGUUAUAAUAAAGAUCUGACAGCCAAUAGCUGGGGCAGGAAGUAUGGGAGUGAAAUUCUGGGCUGGCAGAGAGACAGGGGAUGCAGACAGAAAGCAGGAGAAUCGAAGCAGACGUAGAAGGCAGAUUAAGCAGAGCAGGGAAUAAAAGAGCUAUUUAGGUGGCAGGGCCAGUCUGGAAGUCAGGUUAAGUUAGAAGCUGGCUGAGUCUGCCCUAGCUAAAGACCAGCAGCUUUAAAUUGUAUAGAAAUCUCAUGUCUUGGGCUGGUGGGAUGGCUCAGCGGUUAAGAGCACUGACUACUCUUCCAGAGGUCAUGAGUUCAAAUCCCAGCAGCCACAUGGUGGCUCACAAC